rnacentral:rRNA from 1 species
AUACGGGGGGUGCAAGCGUUAUCCGGAAUCAUUGGGUUUAAAGGGUCCGUAGGCGGACUAUUAAGUCAGAGGUGAAAUCCCACAGCUCAACUGUGGAACUGCCUUUGAUACUGGUAGUCUUGAGUUAUAUGGAAGUAGAUAGAAUGUGUAGUGUAGCGGUGAAAUGCAUAGAUAUUACACAGAAUACCGAUUGCGAAGGCAGUCUACUACGUAUAUACUGACGCUAAGGGACGAAAGCGUGGGGAGCGAACAGGAUUAGAAACCCGAGUAGUCC